ACCUCCUUUCAAGGAACUGUUCUGAGGUUUGGUUGGGUAACUGAUCAUUCUUGGAAUGUUUCGAAAAAUAAAGUCCUUUGGUUAUGGAUCACCGAAGGCACGUUCUGUCAGAUUUCUGUUCUGGUUUUACCAGACGGGAGCGCCGUCAACAUAUCCCUUUCUGCGACAAGUGUUUCUGCUUGUUUGUUUUCUGCUUUUUUGGUGGAAGAUGAAUUUGAGCGGGAAUGAAGGUUUUGGGCUAGUAGCUCAGUUGGUUAGAGCACACGCUUGAUAAGCGUGGGGUCGGAGGUUCAAGUCCUCCCUGGCCCACCACUGGCCGGUUGCGAAAGCAACGACUCUGGUUUUACGGGGGCAUAGCUCAGCUGGGAGAGCACCUGCUUUGCAAGCAGGGGGUCGUCGGUUCGAUCCCGUCUGCCUCCACCAAAACCGGCUUUUGGUGUUAAACACAAGAUCCUUGUCGCAAGGGAGUGUAGAGAUCGGACACGUGUUUAGGUGACUGCGGUGCAGCGCCUUUACGGGUUUGUCUGGUGAUUUGAUCUUUGUCAGUGUGAAUCGGUUGGUGCGUAUCUGUGCGUGCCGUUUUUCUGUGGGUUGGUCUGACCCUCGGAUCCUGAUGGUGGCUUCGGUUACUAUUUGGGGUUCGUGUUAAGCAGAAGCGGCGUUAGCGACCAGAUACGUUUUAAGAUGAAGUAUGACGUGCUCGGAUGCGUC
rnacentral:tRNA from 1 species